UACAGAGGGUGCGAGCGUUGUUCGGAAUUACUGGGCGUAAAGCGCGCGCAGGCGGCCUUUUAAGUCUGCUGGUGAAAUGCCGGGGCUCAACCCCGUGCCCGCCACAGAUACUGGGAGGCUGGAGACGAGUAGAGGCAAGCGGAAUUCCGGGUGUAGCGGUGGAAUGCGUAGAGAUCCGGAAGAACACCGGAGGCGAAGGCGGCUUGCUGGGCUUGGCCUGACGCUGAGGCGCGAAAGCGUGGGGAGCGAACAGG
rnacentral:rRNA from 1 species